rnacentral:rRNA from 1 species
UACGGAGGGUCCGAGCGUUAUCCGGAUUUAUUGGGUUUAAAGGGUGCGUAGGCGGGAUACUAAGUCAGCUGUGAAAGUUUAAUGCUCAACAUUGAAAUUGCAGUUGAAACUGGUAUUCUUGAGUGUAGUGGAAGUAGGUGGAAUUCGUGGUGUAGCGGUGAAAUGCUUAGAUAUCACGAAGAACUCCGAUUGCGAAGGCA